rnacentral:rRNA from 1 species
GACGAACGCUGGCGGCGUGCUUAACACAUGCAAGUCGAACGGAAAGGCCCUGCUUGCAGGGUACUCGAGUGGCGAACGGGUGAGUAACACGUGGGUGAUCUGCCCUGCACUUCGGGAUAAGCUUGGGAAACUGGGUCUAAUACCGGAUAGGAACCAUCUUUAGUGUGGUGGUUGGAAAGUUUUUUCGGUGUAGGAUGAGCUCGCGGCCUAUCAGCUUGUUGGUGGGGUAAUGGCCUACCUAGGCGGCGACGGGUAGCCGGCCUGCGAGGGUGUACGGCCACAUUGGGGCUGUGAUGCAGCCCAGACUCCUACGGGUGGCAGCAGUGGGGAAUAUUGCACAAAGGGCGCAAGCCUGAUGCAGCGACGCCGCGUGGGCGAUGAAGGCCUUCGGGUUGUAAACUCCUUUCGCUAAGGACGAAGGUUUGUUGUGACGGUACCUAGAUAAGAAGCACCGGCUAACUACGUG